AUUAGACGAAUCAUCUGGAAAGAUGAAUCAAAGAAGGUAAUAAUCCUGUAGUCGAAAAUGUUGUCUCUCUUGAGUGGAUCCUGAGUACGACGGAGCACGUGAAAUUCCGUCGGAAUCUGGGAGGACCAUCUCCUAAGGCUAAAUACUCUCUAGUGACCGAUAGUGAACCAGUACCGUGAGGGAAAGGUGAAAAGCACCCCGGAAGGGGAGUGAAAUAGAACCUGAAACCGUGUGCUUACAAGUAGUCAGAGCCCGUUAAUGGGUGAUGGCGUGCCUUUUGUAGAAUGAACCGGCGAGUUACGAUUUGAUGCAAGGUUAAGCAGUAAAUGUGGAGCCGUAGCGAAAGCGAGUCUGAAUAGGGCGUUUAGUAUUUGGUCGUAGACCCGAAACCAGGUGAUCUACCCUUGGUCAGGUUGAAGUUCAGGUAACACUGAAUGGAGGACCGAACCGACUUACGUUGAAAAGUGAGCGGAUGAACUGAGGGUAGCGGAGAAAUUCCAAUCGAACCUGGAGAUAGCUGGUUCUCUCCGAAAUAGCUUUAGGGCUAGCCUCAAGUGAUGAUUAUUGGAGGUAGAGCACUGUUUGGACGAGGGGCCCCUCUCGGGUUACCGAAUUCAGACAAACUCCGAAUGCCAAUUAAUUUAACUUGGGAGUCAGAACAUGGGUGAUAAGGUCCGUGUUCGAAAGGGAAACAGCCCAGACCACCAGCUAAGGUCCCAAAAUAUAUGUUAAGUGGAAAAGGAUGUGGCGUUGCCCAGACAACUAGGAUGUUGGCUUAGAAGCAGCCAUCAUUUAAAGAGUGCGUAAUAGCUCACUAGUCGAGUGACACUGCGCCGAAAAUGUACCGGGGCUAAACAUAUUACCGAAGCUGUGGAUUGUCCUUUGGACAAUGGUAGGAGAGCGUUCUAAGGGCGUUGAAGCAUGAUCGUAAGGACAUGUGGAGCGCUUAGAAGUGAGAAUGCCGGUGUGAGUAGCGAAAGACGGGUGAGAAUCCCGUCCACCGAUUGACUAAGGUUUCCAGAGGAAGGCUC
rnacentral:rRNA from 1 species